rnacentral:rRNA from 1 species
UCGAGAAUUUUUCUCAAUGGGGGAAACCCUGAAGGAGCGACGCCGCGUGGAGGAUGAAGGUCUUCGGAUUGUAAACUCCUGUCAUUUGGGAACAAUGUGCAGUCGUUAACUGCGAUUGCAUUGAUAGUACCAGAAGAGGAAGAGACGGCUAACUCUGUGCCAGCAGCCGCGGUAAUACAGAGGUCUCAAGCGUUGUUCGGAUUCAUUGGGCGUAAAGGGUGCGUAGGUGGCGCCAUAAGUCAGGUGUGAAAUCUCGGGGCUCAACCCCGAAACUGCACUUGAUACUGUGGUGCUCGAGUACUGGAGAGGAGAUUGGAAUUUACGGUGUAGCAGUGAAAUGCGUAGAUAUCGUAAGGAAGACCAGUGGCGAAGGCGAAUCUCUGGACAGUUACUGACACUGAGGCACGAAGGCCAGGGGAGCAAACG